rnacentral:snRNA from 1 species
AUGCGUCCUGGUCGGAUG